rnacentral:rRNA from 1 species
GACGAACGCUGGCGGCGUGCUUAACACAUGCAAGUCGAACGGAAAGGCCCUGCUUUUGUGGGGUGCUCGAGUGGCGAACGGGUGAGUAACACGUGAGUAACCUGCCCUUGACUUUGGGAUAACUUCAGGAAACUGGGGCUAAUACCGGAUAGGAGCUCCUGCUGCAUGGUGGGGGUUGGAAAGUUUCGGCGGUUGGGGAUGGACUCGCGGCUUAUCAGCUUGUUGGUGGGGUAGUGGCUUACCAAGGCUUUGACGGGUAGCCGGCCUGAGAGGGUGACCGGCCACAUUGGGACUGAGAUACGGCCCAGACUCCUACGGGAGGCAGGAGUGGGGAAUAUUGCACAAUGGGCGGAAGCCUGAUGCAGCAACGCCGCGUGCGGGAUGACGGCAUUCGGGUUGUAAACAGCUUUCGCCUGUGACGAAGCGUGAGUGACGGUAAUGGGGAAAGAAGCACCGGCUAACUACGU